rnacentral:lncRNA from 1 species
GGCUGGGAUGGGAGUUCAACGAACAGAGCCUGGAUCCCGACACCACCGCUUCAUUCAGAAAAACCUGACUGGAGCUGGUGGAGGUCAGGGACAGCCAGGAACCUCCUGUGGUGCCCAAAAGGUAUGGGGGAGGUACCCCCAAACAACUACUUGUUCCCUCCUCAGGCCCUACCCCCACUCCCCCUGCUCUGGCUUUCCUCCUUUUCCAACUCAGGAGAGUAGCAUUCUACUGUCUAUUGAGUCCUUGGGUCAGACCCUUCUUGGGAGUGUGGCUGGAGUACCCCACAAUGCAUUUGAGAAAGCGGCAUGGACAGUGGCAGUGCGCACGGAGGCAGUGAUGCGCAGACACUGCCGAAUAUCCUACAGGCAGAUCCAGCAGCCAAAGAAGCAGGCGGUACAGCCGCGCAGCAGUCGGAGGCGGCUCCUGCUACGCGCCCUAUACGCCGUCGCCACCUGCUGGGAAAAGCUCUUUGCGCUAAGUGCCUUGGCCACAGGCGAAUUCUAGCACUGUCCCUGUUCUCACUUCCUCUUCUCACAGAAGAUUGGAAACAAACUGAUUCGUGACAGCUCAGAUUGUCUGCACUCAGAGGUCCAGGAUGUGUAUACACCCACUGAGGCCCCAAUAAAUGGAGCUAAUGAUGGGACCU